UAACCUGCCUGUAAGACUGGGGUAACUCCGGGAAACCGGGGCUAAUACCGGAUGCUUGUUUGAACCGCAUGGUUCAGACAUAAAAGGUGGCUUCGGCUACCACUUACAGAUGGACCCGCGGCGCAUUAGCUAGUUGGUGAGGUAACGGCUCACCAAGGCAACGAUGCGUAGCCGACCUGAGAGGGUGAUCGGCCACACUGGGACUGAGACACGGCCCAGACUCCUACGGGAGGCAGCAGUAGGGAAUCUUCCGCAAUGGACGAAAGUCUGACGGAGCAACGCCGCGUGAGUGAUGAAGGUUUUCGGAUCGUAAAGCUCUGUUGUUAGGGAAGAACAAGUGCCGUUCAAAUAGGGCGGCACCUUGACGGUACCUAACCAGAAAGCCACGGCUAACUACGUGCCAGCAGCCGCGGUAAUACGUAGGUGGCAAGCGUUGUCCGGAAUUAUUGGGCGUAAAGGGCUCGCAGGCGGUUUCUUAAGUCUGAUGUGAAAGCCCCCGGCUCAACCGGGGAGGGUCAUUGGAAACUGGGGAACUUGAGUGCAGAAGAGGAGAGUGGAAUUCCACGUGUAGCGGUGAAAUGCGUAGAGAUGUGGAGGAACACCAGUGGCGAAGGCGACUCUCUGGUCUGUAACUGACGCUGAGGAGCGAAAGCGUGGGGAGCGAACAGGAUUAGAUACCCUGGUAGUCCACGCCGUAAACGAUGAGUGCUAAGUGUUAGGGGGUUUCCGCCCCUUAGUGCUGC
rnacentral:rRNA from 1 species